UCUCUCUCUCUCUCUCUCAUCUCGCUGCCAUCCUUCGUGUACAGGAGCAAUCAUGGAUGCUCCGCGGUCAUGGCGUACAAGGCCGAUUUGGAGUGGUUCCCUUAGGGUACGGGCGACGGGGUUGUGGAGCAGGCGACGGACUAUGACACGUGAAUUGAUACCAGGGUCACCAGCGUGCCCCGGCGGCAAAGAAAGCGGCCAACAGUGGUCCCAACUAUGGCAAUCAGGAUUUAGGAGAUCGGCUUGGUGAUCUGCGUGGUGGGUGUGUCAUCUCCAUGCACUGGUUGCUUCCAUGACAAUACUUCAAAUAUGGGAGCCUGGUUUGCCUAUCAUCAACAAAGGGAGUAUGUCUCAAGACAUGACAAUGCAUAAUAAUAGUUGUUGUAAGGGAGUUGAAACUCAUGAGAUGUGAGAAAAAAAAUGUAAGACUGAUCCAUUGACUACCAGGUUUAUGACUGCCCUUAUUACUACGUGGAAGGUACCUC